rnacentral:rRNA from 1 species
CUACGGGAGGCAGCAGUGGGGAAUCUUAGACAAUGGGGGAAACCCUGAUCUAGCCAUGCCGCGUGAUCGAUGAAGGCCUUAGGGUUGUAAAGAUCUUUCAGUGGGGAAGAUAAUGACGGUACCCACAGAAGAAGCCCCGGCUAACUCCGUGCCAGCAGCCGCGGUAAUACGGAGGGGGCUAGCGUUAUUCGGAAUUACUGGGCGUAAAGCGCACGUAGGCGGACUGGAAAGUCAGAGGUGAAAGCCCAGGGCUCAACCCUGGAACUGCCUUUGAAACUCCCAGUCUUGAGGUCGAGAGAGGUGAGUGGAAUUCCGAGUGUAGAGGUGAAAUUCGUAGAUAUUCGGAGGAACACCAGUGGCGAAGGCGGCUCACUGGCUCGAUACUGACGCUGAGGUGCGAAAGCGUGGGGAGCAAACAGGAUUAGAUACCCCGGUAGUC